rnacentral:lncRNA from 1 species
CAAGACAGUAAGGAAAACAACUGAAGAAGUGAAUUGCUCAUCCAUGUGAGGGGCUGGAUAUCAGCCAUACUACCAUCAUCUGAAGCAACUGUUCUCUCAUACUGCCCCAAUCUCUUUCAGCUUAAAAUAGAAUUCCAGCACCAGAAGAGUCACCACGGAUUGUUGGUAUGUCUAAGAUCAGAUUACUAAGAGUCAGGAAAGCAUGAAAUACUAUUUAGGGGUUAGCGUAGGCAUAAAGUUAGAAUGAUCUUAAUAUCAGGAUGAGGUUG